GACCCGCCUGCACACACUUGGCACAUGUUCAUGCUUUCAUAUUCCCUGUUGGCUCAGCUCCCACUUUCUUUUCAAUCGCUAUCUCAAGUGGAAAAGCACACAUUUAUGAAGAGACUUACUGUAUCUGACACACAUCCAACUCCACAGAAGUAAAAUGAAAUUGCUCAUACUUAAUCGCACCGGCCCCUGAAGACGCUGGCCCACUAAACAUCUGCCCACUAUGAAUGCUGGACCACAGUUUAUUGAAAGGUCCACUGGGUGAUAAUAACAGGGAGAGACAGCGUGAACGAGAUCGAAGUCUGUUACAUUGACUCCACUUCUUGUGACUCAUCCUACCACAGGCAGUGAUAUACUCAGACACAAGAAAAUGUCCUCAAAUUGCUGGCGUGAAAGACCAAUCCCUUCUGUUUUCAAACGCUGAGUCACACAUUGUAGAGACUCACGUCAUCACCCAAUAAUAGUACACCAAGCCAGUUACUAAAAUAAGCUUUUCAAAAUAUUUGGUGACACUGACGAAUUUGCAUUUUUAGGAUGCAGCUAAAAGUAUGCAUUUGACAGCAUAGGCUGUCGAGGCUGUCAGUAAGCGUAAACAGACAAGAUACAAGGAAUCUGCACGCUCUAAUGAACAGGAACUUAUUAGCGGCAGUAUGUCUAUUCCUGUCCCACUAGCCUACUGUCUUUCAUUAGCUGCUUAUGUCACGCCUGUUGGUGUUGUCUUUCAUACUUCCCAUUUUGAUUAGCAUUUGAUCCACAGGCAAAGUAGGAAAAAUCAUAUUCAUUAGUGUCAAUUACUGCUACAUGUGAUCAUUUUUACCAACUAAAUUGUAUUUUUUUC